rnacentral:hammerhead_ribozyme from 1 species
AUCUAGCUGACGAGUCCUAAAUAAGAUGAAACGUAUGUCCUGGAU